AUUGAACGCUGGCGGCAGGCCUAACACAUGCAAGUCGAACGAGUGGCGGACGGGUGAGUAAUGUCUGGGAAACUGCCUGAUGGAGGGGGAUAACUACUGGAAACGGUAGCUAAUACCGCAUACCAUCGGAUGUGCCCAGAUGGGUUUAGCUAGUAGGUGGGGUAAAGGCUCACCUAGGCGACGAUCCCUAGCUGGAAUGAGAGGGUGACCAGGCACACUGGAACUGUGACACGGACCAGACUACUACGGAGGGAGGCAGUGGGGAAGAUUGCACAAGUGGCGCAAGUCUAAUGCAGCCAUGCCGCGUGUAUGAAGAGGGCCCUCGGGUUGUAAAGUAGUUUCAGCGGGGAGGCGUUACCCGAAGAGGAAGCACCGGCUAACUCCGUGCCAGCAGCCGCGGUAAUAC
rnacentral:rRNA from 1 species